CUUGGUCAUUUAGAGGAAGUAAAAGUCGUAACAAGGUCUCCGUAGGUGAACCUGCGGAGGGAUCAUUACACAAUAAACAUAUGAAGGCUGCACCGCCAACAGGCGGCAAGGCUGGAGUAUUUUAUUACCCUUGUCUUUUGCGCACUUGUUGUUUCCUGGGCGGGUUCGCCCGCCUCCAGGACCACAUGAUAAACCUUUUUUAUGCAGUUGCAAUCAGCGUCAGUACAACAAAUGUAAAUCAUUUACAACUUUCAACAACGGAUCUCUUGGUUCUGGCAUCGAUGAAGAACGCAGCGAAAUGCGAUACGUAGUGUGAAUUGCAGAAUUCAGUGAAUCAUCGAAUCUUUGAACGCACAUUGCGCCCUUUGGUAUUCCAAAGGGCAUGCCUGUUCGAGCGUCAUUUGUACCCUCAAGCUUUGCUUGGUGUUGGGCGUUUUUUGUCUUUGGUUUUGUCCAAAGACUCGCCUUAAAACGAUUGGCAGCCGGCCUACUGGUUUCGCAGCGCAGCACAUUUUUGCGCUUGCAAUCAGCAAAAGAGGACGGCACUCCAUCAAGACUCUAUAUCACUUUUGACCUCGGAUCAGGUAGGGAUACCCGCUGAACUUAAGCAUAUCAAUAAGCGGAGG
rnacentral:rRNA from 1 species